AGACGAAGGUGGCUAGCGUUAUUCGGAUUUACUGGGCAUAAAGCGCGCGUAGGCGGCCUGGUCAGUCGGAGGUGAAAUCCCACAGCUUAACUGUGGAACUGCCCCCGAUACUGCCGGGCUUGAGUGCAGGAGGGGUGACCGGAACUCCAGGAGUAGCGGUGAAAUGCGUAGAUAUCUGGAGGAACACCGGAGGCGAAGGCGGGUCACUGGACUGCAACUGACGCUGAGGUGCGAAAGCUAGGGGAGCGAACAGGAUUAGAAACCCGAGUAGUCC
rnacentral:rRNA from 1 species